rnacentral:misc_RNA from 1 species
GAUGAAGAACGUAGCGAAAUGCGAUACUUGGUGUGAAUUGCAGAAUUCAGUGAAUCAUCGAAUCUUUGAACGCACAUUGCGCCCCCUGGUAUUCCGGGGGGCAUGCCUGUUCGAGCGUCAUUUCACCACUCAAGCCUCGCUUGGUAUUGGGCAACGCGGUCCGCCGCGUGCCUCAAAUCGACCGGCUGGGUCUUCUGUCCCCUAAGCGUUGUGGAAACUAUUCGCUAAAGGGUGCUCGGGAGGCUACGCCGUAAAACAAACCCAUUUCUAAGGUUGACCUCGGAUCAGGUAGGGAUACCCGCUGAACUUAAGCAUAUCAAUAAGCGGAGGA